CACUGGAAACGGUGUCUAAUACUGGAUACGACCUAUCACCGCAUGGUGUGUGGGUGGAAAGAUUUAUCGGUUUUGGAUGGACUCGCGGCCUAUCAGCUAGAUGGUGAGGUAAUGGCUCACCAUGGCGACGACGGGUAGCCGGCCUGAGAGGGUGACCGGCCACACUGGGACUGAGACACGGCCCAGACUCCUACGGGAGGCAGCAGUGGGGAAUAUUGCACAAUGGGCGCAAGCCUGAUGCAGCAACGCCGCGUGAGGGAUGACGGCCUUCGGGUUGUAAACCUCUUUUAGUAGGGAAGAAGCGAAAGUGACGGUACCUGCAGAAAAAGCACCGGCUAACUACGUGCCAGCAGCCGCGGUAAUACGUAGGGUGCAAGCGUU
rnacentral:rRNA from 3 species